rnacentral:rRNA from 1 species
UACAGAGGGUGCGAGCGUUGUCCGGAAUCACUGGGCGUAAAGGGCGCGUAGGCGGCGCGGUAAGCGUGCGGUGAAAGCCCGGGGCUCAACCCCGGGUCGGCCGUGCGGACUGCCGGGCUGGAGCACUGUAGAGGCAGGUGGAAUUCCGGGUGUAGCGGUGGAAUGCGUAGAGAUCCGGAGGAACACCGAUUGCGAAGGCAGCUCGCUGGGACGUUACUGACGCUGAGACGCGAAAGCGUGGGGAGCAAACAGG